AUGGCUGCGCUCUUGCUGAGACACGUUGGUCGUCAUUGACUCCGAGCCCACUUUAGCCCUCAGCUCUGUAUCAGAAAUGCUGUUCCUUUGGGAAACACGGCCAAAGAAGAGAUGGAGCGGUUCUGGAAUAAGAAUAUAGGUUCAAACUGUCCUCUAUCACCCCACAUCACUAUCUACAGUUGGUCUCUUCCCAUGGCGAUGUCCAUCUGCCACCGUGGCACUGGUAUUGCUUUGAGUGCAGAUGUGGGACCUAGAAAAAAAGCCCGAAGAUUCCCCAGCUGUACCAGUCUGGAGUGGUUGUCCUGGUUCUUACUGUGUUGUCCUUUAUGGGGCUGGCAGCCAUGUGAAGGACGGAGGCUCCCAGCAUCGUCUUCCUACACAUUAUUACAUUCACUCAUCUUUCUGUUUGUCAUUCUUAUUUCCAGCCUGGGAAAAGUUCUCCUUAUUUGUUUAGAUACUUUUGUACUUUCAGAUCCCCUUGGAGCAGUAGAGUACCUUGUAGACCAUAAUAGUGGAAAAGGGUCUAGUUUUCCCCUUGUUUCUAAAGAUGAGGUGGCUGCAAAAACUCCCCUUUUUUGCCCACAGCUUGCCCACUCUCGGCCUAGAAGCAGUUAUUCUCUCUCCAUAUUGGGCUUUGAUUUGUGCUGAGGAUAAGCUUUUGGCUCCUUCUUCCUGAGACAGUGGAAACAAUGCCAGCUCUGUGGCUUCUGCCCUGGGGACGGGCGGCGGGGGGUGGGUGGUUGGUGAGGCUUUGGGUGCCACUGACUGUGGGUUGCUGGCUUAAAGGACAAUUCUCUUCAUUGGUAAGAGCCCAGGCCGUUAACACCUACACAGUGUUAUUGAAAGAAGAGAGGUGGGGGUGGAGGGGAAUUAGUCUGUCCCAGCUAGAGGGAGAUAAAGAGGGCUAGUUAGUUCUUGGAGCAGCUGCUUUUGAGGAGAAAAUAUAUACCUUUUGACACAAGAGGAAGAUCCAGAAAAUUAUCAUUAAACAUAUUAAUGGUUAUUUCUUUUUCUUGGAUUUCCAGAAAAGCCUCUUAAUUUUACGCUUUCUCAUCGAAGUAAUGUACCCUUUUUGUCUGAAACUGAAUUAAAAUACUCAUUUU